UCCCAUGGGCUAGUUUUCACAGUGUGGGAAGGUGCUGUGCAGGCUGCUGGGAGAGAAGUCAACUGUUUUAUCCAGAUGUGAACCCUAUAAACUACAGAAAUAACCUUCCAGGCCAGUGGCCUACUAGUACAAGCUUUACUGUUAGGGGUAACAACCAUUGUCUUAUCGGAUUUGAGUUUGGUACCAUAGGAGGGAAUUCAUGCCUGGUACUGUAAACCUGGCCAAGAGUUCACAGAUUGGGAGCUAACAGACCCUGGGGGAGCCUACUUCUGUUGUUUUGCUAAAUAGACAUGUUGUCAAGCUGCCUUCUAAAUAUGUUUAUUCCUGUCGGUUUAUACUGCCAACAGCCUCCAUCAAAGAGCCUUCUUUUUUCUUUAAUGCAGUGAUUCAUAACUGGCUAGAGGGCUGGUGAUACAAGGAAACAGAAGAGAUAGAUUGGCACCGGAGACCCUGACUCGGCUGGCCAGGUACUCACUAUGUAGACCACAUGGACCUCAAAAGCAUAGAACUCCUCCUGCCUCGCUGGGAUUAAAGAUCCAAAUGUAGAGCUCACAGCUCCUUCUCCAGCACCAUGUCUGCCUGCACACGGCCAUUCUUCCCUCCACAAUGAUGGAAACCUCUGAACUGUAAGCCAGCCCCAAUUAAAUGCUUUCUUUUAUAAGA